CGCACGUUUUGGAUAAUUGUUGAGACAACGAGCAGCGACAAAGACUUGUUCCUCGAUUCAUAUACUCGUGUUGUUUUCUCCUGCAGUAAUUGAACGCUCGGUGUAAAAAUGGUUAUAGUUUCGAAAAAAGGUGAAUUGACAACAACGGUCACCGAAUCUGGCCGUGUGCUGAACAGCCUGGCCAGAAGCCGUUUGUUGAGAGCUGGAGUUCGCGUACCGUAUUAUAUCAAGGGUGAUCCAUCGUAUUCCUACACCCGUACCCAAACAGUCAAAGCAGGAGUUCGAACCGAAGUAUUGACCGAGGAAAAAUGGAAAGUGACUUAUUGAAAUGGGCGCUACAUUUGUAGUUGCACAGACUUGUCAUGCCAAGUAGUUUGCCGCUGAUCAUAAAAAUGUUUUCAACACACAAUUUACUAAAAUCAUGUCUCAACGCAUAGGAUUAAAUAUGUUCAAAAUUGAUUCGUUAAUUUCUAAUAAAUAAUAUUCACGAAUUAAAA